CCUACGGGCGGCAGCAGUGGGGAAUAUUGGACAAUGGGGGGAACCCUGAUCCAGCCAUGCCGCGUGUGUGAAGAAGGCCCUCGGGUUGUAAAGCACUUUCAGUGAGGAAGAACGCCUGGUGGUUAAUACCCAUCAGGAAAGACAUCACUCACAGAGAAGCACCGGCUAACUCCGUGCCAGCAGCCGCGGUAAUACGGAGGGUGCGAGCGUUAAUCGGAAUUACUGGGCGUAAAGCGCGCGUAGGUGGCUUGAUAAGCCGGUUGUGAAAGCCCCGGGCUCAACCUGGGAACGGCAUCCGGAACUGUCAAGCUAGAGUGCAGGAGAGGAAGGUAGAAUUCCCGGUGUAGCGGUGAAAUGCGUAGAGAUCGGGAGGAAUACCAGUGGCGAAGGCGGCCUUCUGGACUGACACUGACACUGAGGUGCGAAAGCGUGGGUAGCAAACAGGAUUAGAUACCCCGGUAGUC
rnacentral:rRNA from 1 species